rnacentral:SRP_RNA from 1 species
GCCAGGCACAGACAGUGGCAUGUGCCUAUAGUCCCCAGCUACUGGAGAGGCAGAGGCAGGAGAAUCGCUUGAGGCCAGGAGUUCUGAGCUGUGGUGUGCAAUGCUGAUUGGGUGUCUGUACUAAAUUCCACAUCAGUGUGGUGACUUCCUGGGUGUGUGGGACCACCAGGUUGUCUAAGGAGGGGUGAACUGGCCGAGGUCAGAAAUGGAACAAGUCAGAACUCCUGUGCUGGUCAGUAGUGGGAUCAUUCCUGUGAAUGGCCACGGCACGGCAGUCUGGGCCACAUAGUGAGACCCUGUCUCU